GCAGGUGUACCCGAGUGGUCAAAGGGGUCGGGCUCAAGUUCCGAUGCGUAGAGCUUCGCAGGUUCGAAUCCUGCCUCCUGCACCA
rnacentral:tRNA from 4 species